rnacentral:lncRNA from 1 species
GAUGAAAGUAGCAGACGCUAAAAGGUGACCAGAAGGCCUUCAUGUCCAUUAAUAAUGGCUACAUGAUCUCUUAGAACGACUGAGUAAUAACAUCUGGUACUUUUUUCCUAAAUAUUUAAGAUUUUAUUUCUCGUGCUUCGUUUUUUCCGAUUUUUAUUUUUCGUGCUACGUUUUUGCGAUUUUUAUUUCAAGUGUUUCCGUGUUCAGUACCCCCC